UCACAAAAGUCUUCGACAGUCCUCUUCUUGGACGACAGGAUCACAGGGUCCUCAUAAUCAGGAUUCAUGCCUUUUGGCUUCGUAUAAAUACGAGUCAGAUUAAGAUACUCCCAUAUCUUCUCAAGCAGGCCAUCAAGGUUCCAUUCCAGGUGCGCACUCACUGGACAGUAGUGAGGAAGCUUGUCUAGAAUCUCCAGCUCUUCGAUUGUGAUCUGAUCGAUCUUGUUCACGACAUAGAUGCAUG
rnacentral:misc_RNA from 1 species